rnacentral:lncRNA from 1 species
ACUAGCAUAACAACUAUACCUCAUUCUCAUACCCUUUGCAAAUUAGUUAUUUGCACAAAAUAUCAUUCAUAAUAUUCACAUAAGCCAAACAUUAACCAAAAUAGCACAAGAGCCUAUACAUGUCAUAUAAUUUGAAUUUAACAUUUCAAAAACUACCGAGAUAAAUUGGAUAGUGUGACUUGAGUGCCGAUCCUUUCGUCCAACCUUCCAAAAAUAUACAAUGACAUUAAACAACACAAGUAAGCUUAAUGAAACUUAGUAAGUUCGACGAGAUAAACAAAAAUCUUACCGAACUAAUUACAAUAAAUCAAAUAAUAAUAAUAAAAAUCAUCCAUGACAACUCCCUGUCAUUCACAACUUCAAUCGACAAAUACAUCCGUAUUUAAAUCAAUACAAAAAUAAAUAACAUGUCUUUCAAAUUUAUGAAAUAAAUCACCUUACCGAGAUUUUUCCAUUCGAAGAGCGACUUUCGGAUAAGAGUACAUCGUCAACAGAAGCUCAUAAGAGCUGGUCCUCCCAAAUACGCCAACAGAAGCUCGAAAGCUGAACAGAAGCUAGUAAGAGCUGAUCCACCCAAUCAUGCCAAAAAUAAAAUAAAACACGAUAGUUCACAACAAAUGAUGAACCCCGUUUACUUGGGUAAAAUUCUAAUAUCUCCCUCCAAUACCAUCUCCACUCCAAACCCCCGUCAUACACCAAAUCACGUAUGUACUCAAAUCUCGCGUUCAAUUCAAACCGGAUAUCCAAUUCAAUAUUAUAAUUCAAACAAUAAUUCAUUUCCAGCAAUAGAAUAUAUGCAUAAUACCAAUCAUCAAUUUGUACAAAUGUUAAAUUUUAACCGUACGAACUUACCUGGACUGAAUUGUAGUAAUUGUAGAAGUUUAGGAACUAUUCCGCUAUUUUUUUUCCACGAAUAUCUACGAGAUCUUGAUCUAAAAUAUAAAAUUACUCAUUUAUUAGCAUAUAUUUCAUUUCUAAUCCAUUUUACAAUUAAUACCCUUUUAUUUUUCUACUUUAUGCAAUUACCCUAAACUUUUACAAUUUUUGCAAUUUAAUCCCUUAAUUAGUUAAUCUAUCACAUUAACUAAUUUUCUCAAAUAAACAACCUAUCCAAAUAUUCUAGGCCCUCAUACAACCCUUAAUAAACCUAAAAUUCACUAUCAAACCCUAAUAUUUUGACAUUUUCACAAUUUAAUCCUAAAAUCAAUAUUUAACAAAAAUCACUUUACAAAAUCAUCACACAACACAAUCAAAGCUCCAAAUCCAUGUUAUUCAUAAAAAACAUCUAAUAUUUUUCAAUGGAAACUUCCAAAAUUUUUAACAGAAUUAGAAACGAAGGUACGGGUUAGCUGGACCUAGUUGCAACUAUCUCAAAAACAUAAAAAUUACAAGAAACGGGUAAGAAUUGAACUCACAUGGAAGCUCGUAUGCUCAACCAAUUCUCCAAUCUAUUUCUAUGGUGUUCCGUCAGUGGCAAAAGAAUAAAAUGAAGAAGAAAUCCUAUUUCUUCUUACUUAAUUUUGUUUUAAUUUCAACUAAAUUACAAGUUUGCCAUUAUAAUUUAAUUAUUUUGUCCUUAUCCAUCAAUUUACUGUCCCACUAUACUAUUUAGGGCUUAAUUAUCACUUAAUUCCUUCCUCAAUUAAUAAUUACAUCAUUUCAUCACCUAAUUGCUAUAAUUAGCAAGUUUUACACAUUUUUCAAUUUAGUUCUUUUUAAUUAAUUAACUAUCGAAACGUUAAAAUUUUUCAAUGAAACUUUAAUACCACCUUAAUGAAACUCCGUAAAUAUUUAUAAAAAUAUUUACGGCUCGGUUUAUAGAAACGAGGUCUUGAUACCUCACUUUCUAAAACCACUUGACCUUAGGGUCUUACCACUUGAACCUAAUAAAUUGUUAUAGAACAUAAAUUACCAAAUCAAAAACCUUUUUAAAACUAUAUUUGACUAGUAAAUAUUAAAUAAUAAUAUUUACGAACUUACUUGUAGAAUUUGGUGGCCUCGAAACCACUAUUUCCGACAUCACUAAAAAAUCGGGCUAUUACAGGCACAUGGUUGUGUGUCCAGCCUACGUGGGAAGGCCCAGGCCAUAUGGCUCCUGAAUUCAGCUUUAUUUUUCUGAUUUUCACUCUUUUUUGCUCCUUUCGCUUCCAAAUGCUCUCCUAAGUAUAGAAACAUGAAUUCAAAGGAUUAGGAGCAUAAAAUUCACCAAUUUGCAUAAAUAAUCAUCCAUAAACGUAUUAAGAACGAGAUUAAAAUAUGUUACUUUUAUCAUUUAUCAUAGAUUUAAGAGAGAAUUUGAGAGAAAUUUGAUAGUGGUUUGAGAAUUUUGAGAGAUUUUUUAGGGAAUUUUGUGAAAAAUAAGUAAUGGUGGGGGGUUUAUAGGGUUUUUUUUCUUUUUUACCGUUGUGGGGUGGAGGGCAACGACUAUUUUAAUUAGCCGUUGGGGAGGGGGAACGCAUCUAGCUGGAAGCGUUUUUUGGGCAACAUGCGGAAAGCAUUUCCAGCUAGAAGCUUUUUUCUGCAUUUCACCUGAAAAUGCUUCUAGCUGGAAGCGUUUUCCCUGAAUCGGCUUAUUCUCAUAAUUAUUCAAAAAAUUGGUCUGGUCUGAUAAAUUUAAAUUUUUUUUUACAUUUAUCAGUUGUAACACCACUAACCCGUAUCCGUCGCCGAAUUAGGGUUACGAGGCAUUACCGAACAAAUUCAACAUUUUUAAAACCAAACUGAUCACAACGUAAAAAUUUAAUUACUUUCGCAUAGCUAUUAUAAUUUACAAUCAAAAUGUAAUUAACAUCGUACUCAAACCUAUACAUGCCAUAAGAUUGAGUUCAAAUAUUUAACAAAAUACCAAAAGAAGUCGAUAGUGUGAUGGACUAUGCUGAUGAUCCCCGAGCUCGUAACGCGUCUCCAAAAUCGAUAAAAGCAAAUGGACGAAAACAAACAAAGUAAGCUUUUAUAGCUUAGUAAGUCUAUAGCAUAUCUAAAAUACAUAUAAAAGAAUCAUAUAAUUCUUUAAUUAAAUUUAUUGAAAUCACAAUUAUCAAUAAUAAUUACUAAUCAAACAUUGCUAUAUUAAGUCAUUUUGUUUAAAUCUAAAUGGAUGUGUAUUUAUCUAAUACACAUAAACGAACAAAUGUAUAUACAUUAUAUGCAUAUAAUCAAUUUACUAACAUAAUCAUUAACUGCAUAUACUGAUUUCUAUAGUACUUAUUGUUCGCACUUCAUCGGAUCCAUUUAAAUAUAAUUAUUCAAAUACAUAUACCAAAAGCAUAAUUUUUAUACUUAUCCACUAUAAGUGCCGAAUGCACAUUUACACCUAUACCCACCUAUGCCGAAUGCAUACAUAUAUACACAUAUAUAUAUAUCCAACAAUUUCAUGACAACCGAUAUAUAUAUAUACAUACUUACUAUUCACAAAGAUUCGAACGAUUAUAUAAUCAUCAACCACCUUGAUACAAUGUUCAUAAACUUAUCCAUUUCAUAUAAACAAAAUCAUAUAUAUUUAUACUCAAUACAUAGAAUCACUUAAUUUAAACAGAUUCAACGGCACUUAGCCUGCUAGGCUUAUAGCCUGAUUCAGAUCACCGGCACGUAGCCUGCUAGGUUUAUAACCUGAUUCAGAUCACCGGCACGUAGCCUGCUAGACUUAAAGUCUGAAAAAUUCACUGGCAUAAAGCCUGCUAGGUACAGAACCUGAAUAUCACAAAUACAAGAAUACUUUCUCAUACUGGCAUUACACAUGUUUAAAAUAUAUACGUAUAAUUCAUGUAGCAUUAACCACACUUUCAAGAAAUUGNN